rnacentral:rRNA from 1 species
UACGUAGGGGGCAAGCGUUGUCCGGAAUCAUUGGGCGUAAAGCGCGUGUAGGCGGUUCGAUAAGUCUGCUGUGAAAGUCCAGGGCUCAACCCUGGAAAGCCGGUGGAUACUGUCGGGCUUGAGUACGGAAGAGGCGAGUGGAAUUCCUGGUGUAGCGGUGAAAUGCGCAGAUAUCAGGAGGAACACCGAUUGCGAAGGCAGCUCGCUGGGACGUUACUGACGCUGAGACGCGAAAGCGUGGGGAGCAAACAGG